AUUGAACGCUGGCGGCAUGCUUUACACAUGCAAGUCGAACGGUAACAGGUUAAGCUGACGAGUGGCGAACGGGUGAGUAAUGCAUCGGAACGUGCCCGGUCGUGGGGGAUAACGCAGCGAAAGCUGCGCUAAUACCGCAUACGAUCUGAGGAUGAAAGCGGGGGACCGUAAGGCCUCGCGCGAUCGGAGCGGCCGAUGUCAGAUUAGGUAGUUGGUGGGGUAAAGGCUCACCAAGCCGACGAUCUGUAGCUGGUCUGAGAGGACGACCAGCCACACUGGGGCUGAGAAACGGCCCAGACUCCUACGGGAGGCAGCAGUGGGGAAUUUUGGACAAUGGGCGCAAGCCUGAUCCAGCAAUGCCGCGUGCAGGAAGAAGGCCUUCGGGUUGUAAACUGCUUUUGUACGGAGCGAAAAGGCUCUCUCUAAUACAGGGGGCUCAUGACGGUACCGUAAGAAUAAGCACCGGCUAACUACGUGCCAGCAGCCGCCGUAACAC
rnacentral:rRNA from 1 species